rnacentral:rRNA from 1 species
UACGUAGGGGGCUAGCGUUGUCCGGAAUCAUUGGGCGUAAAGCGCGUGUAGGCGGUUCGGUAAGUCCGCUGUGAAAGUCGGGGGCUCAACCCUCGAAAGCCGGUGGAUACUGUCGGACUAGAGUACGGAAGAGGCGAGUGGAAUUCCUGGUGUAGCGGUGAAAUGCGCAGAUAUCAGGAGGAACACCAAUUGCGAAGGCAGCUGGCUACACAAAUAUUGACACUGAGGCACGAAAGCGUGGGGAUCAAACAGG